rnacentral:rRNA from 1 species
UACGUAGGUGACCAGCGUUGUCCGGAUUUACUGGGCGUAAAGAGCGCGCAGGCGGUCGUUCAAGUCGAGUGUGAAAGCCCCCGGCUCAACUGGGGAGGGUCACUCGAUACUGAUCGACUUGAAGGCAGGAGAGGGAAGCGGAAUUCCCGGUGUAGUGGUGAAAUGCGUAGAUAUCGGGAGGAACAUCAGUUGCGAAGGCGGCUCUCUGGACCAGUACUGACGCUGAGGCACGAAAGCGUGGGAGCAACAGG